GAUGAACGCUGGCGGCGUGCUUAACACAUGCGAGUCGAACGGUGAAGGCGGAGCUUGCUCUGCUGGAUCAGUGGCGAACGGGUGAGUAACACGUGAGCAAUCUGCCCCUGACUCUGGGAUAAGCGCUGGAAACGGCGUCUAAUACUGGAUACGAGCUGCGAAGGCAUCUUCAGCAGCUGGAAAGAAUUUCGGUCAGGGAUGAGCUCGCGGCCUAUCAGCUUGUUGGUGAGGUAAUGGCUCACCAAGGCGUCGACGGGUAGCCGGCCUGAGAGGGUGACCGGCCACACUGGGACUGAGACACGGCCCAGACUCCUACGGGAGGCAGCAGUGGGGAAUAUUGCACAAUGGGCGAAAGCCUGAUGCAGCAACGCCGCGUGAGGGACGACGGCCUUCGGGUUGUAAACCUCUUUUAGCAGGGAAGAAGCGAAAGUGACGGUACCUGCAGAAAAAGCGCCGGCUAACUACGUG
rnacentral:rRNA from 1 species